rnacentral:rRNA from 1 species
AAAUUGAAGAGUUUGAUCAUGGCUCAGAUUGAACGCUGGCGGCAGGCCUAACACAUGCAAGUCGAACGGUAACAGGAAACAGCUUGCUGUUUCGCUGACGAGUGGCGGACGGGUGAGUAAUGUCUGGGAAACUGCCUGAUGGAGGGGGAUAACUACUGGAAACGGUAGCUAAUACCGCAUAAUGUCGCAAGACUAAAGAGGGGGACCUUCGGGCCUCUUGCCAUCGGAUGUGCCCAGAUGGGAUUAGCUAGUAGGUGGGGUAACGGCUCACCUAGGCGACGAUCCCUAGCUGGUCUGAGAGGAUGACCAGCCACACUGGAACUGAGACACGGUCCAGACUCCUACGGGAGGCAGCAGUGGGGAAUAUUGCACAAUGGGCGCAAGCCUGAUGCAGCCAUGCCGCGUGUAUGAAGAAGGCCUUCGGGUUGUAAAGUACUUUCAGCGGGGAGGAAGGGAGUAAAGUUAAUACCUUUACUCAUUGACGUUA